UCUGGUUUGGAACUUAUGCAGGUCUCCUCUCUUUCUUCUCCCUCAGGGGUCAACCACUGAGCCAGAGCAGUAACCCAUAGACCAUGCUUCCUCCUCAAAGCCCUGGGAGAGAGAGAGAGAGAGCCAACUUAUGCUUCCCCGUUUGCCUCUAAAAAAACCUAAGCCAUCAGCAUAGUCACUCAUCUUCCUGACUCGUUCUCUUUGCCAGCAUGAUCACUGUCAGUAAUGGAAUCAGGGAUCUCACUGAACCUCAUACAGUCUACCUGUGAGCUGCACUUGAAGGAAUGAAGGAAUACUUGUUUGGACAAGUUUGGAAGGCUGGAAAGGUCAUCUGGAAGAUGAGGGAAUUAUAAGUAGCAGACCGAAGAGCAGAUUGAGGAUAAGAAAGCCUUGUGACCCUCCACUGCAACUUCUACAAGAGGCUUCUAACUGCAGUGCCAUCCUUAGACCCUGGCAAGAGGGCCCCUGGCCCUGGCCCUCCUCCACUGUGCCCUUCUGCACAAAGAGGAUACUACGGAACCGAGGGAUCCUCAGCAACCCCAAGUCCAAGCCCCCACUUCUAGGCCACUGGUGGAAUGCUCUUGUCCAGAUUCUAGAA
ensembl:lncRNA